GACGAACGCUGGCGGCGUGCCUAAUACAUGCAAGUAGAACGCUGAAGGAGGAGCUUACUUCUCUGGAUGAGUUGCGAACGGGUGAGUAACGCGUAGGUAACCUGCCUGGUAGCGGGGGAUAACUAUUGGAAACGAUAGCUAAUACCGCAUAAGAGUAGAUGUUGCAUUACAUUUACUUAAAAGGUGCAAUUGCACCACUACCAGAUGGACCUGAGUUGUAUUAGCUAGUUGGUGGGGUAACGGCUUACCAAGGCGACGAUACAUAGCCGACCUGAGAGGGUGAUCGGCCACACUGGGACUGAGACACGGCCCAGACUCCUACGGGAGGCAGCAGUAGGGAAUCUUCGGCAAUGGACGGAAGUCUGACCGAGCAACGCCGCGUGAGUGAAGAAAGUUUUCGGAUCGUAAAGCUCUGUUGUAAGAGAAGAACGAGUGUGAGAGUGGAAAGUUCACACUGUGACGGUAUCUUACCAGAAAGGGACGGCUAACUACGUGCCAGCCGCCGCCGUAA
rnacentral:rRNA from 1 species